UGCUUGCUCCAGAAGCACAUAAACUAAAUUGGAACAGUACAAAGAAGAUUAGUAUGACCCAUAUACAAGGAUGAAAUGCAAAGUCGUAAAACAUUCCAAUUAAAA